CCUACGGGGGGCAGCAGUGGGGAAUAUUGCACAAUGGGGGAAACCCUGAUGCAGCGACGCCGCGUGAGCGAAGAAGUAUUUCGGUAUGUAAAGCUCUAUCAGCAGGGAAGAAAAUGUCUGUACCUGACUAAGAAGCUCCGUCUAAAUACGUGCCAGCAGCCGAGGUAAUACGUAUGAAGCAAGCGUUAUCCGGAUUUACUGGGUGUAAAGGGGGCGUAGUCGGUAAGGCAAGUCUGAUGUGAAAGGCGAGGGCUCAACCCUGAGACUGCAUUGGAAACUGUUUAACUGGAGUGUCGGAGAGGUAAGUGGAAUUCCUGGUGUAGCGGUGAAAUGCAUAGAUAUUAGGAAGAACACCAAGGGCGAAGGCGGCUUGC
rnacentral:rRNA from 1 species